CCCCAGUAAGCCCUAUGGGUGGCAAAGGAGUUAGAAGUGGGACCUGCUAAAGAACUCAAGAGAUGGACGACCAGCUGCCAGGGGGCUGGACGCUGUCUUGCCGAGGAGGACACCAGCAGAAAGAGAGGAGAACAGUCAGCAAGUCUGUGGGGAGCUUUCCAGGAGAGUCAAGGACAAGCAGCAGGCUGUAGACCGUCGCCUCAAAGGCGGCCCAGCACCUCUGCUUCCUGAGUUUCCCAAGUCAGAGAAGAAAAGCAGCUGCUCGUGGCCCUUCAAGUGCGGGCUGUCAUGAAAUGGCCAUGCUAAGAACAGCCAGGGUUUAGAGGCCACCACUAGCUGCACCCUCAAAGAUGGGUAUCUAAACUAAAUGAGAGCUUG
ensembl:lncRNA